AUACGUAGGGGGCGAGCGUUGUCCGGAAUUAUUGGGCGUAAAGGGUUCGCAGGCGGUCUGAUAAGUCAGAUGUGAAAGGCAAUGGCUCAACCAUUGUAAGCAUUUGAAACUGUCAGACUUGAGUUAAGGAGAGGAAAGUGGAAUUCCUAGUGUAGCGGGGAAAUGCGUAGAUAUUAGGAGGAAUACCAGUGGCGAAGGCGACUUUCUGGACUUAUACUGACGCUGAGGAACGAAAGCGUGGGGAGCAAACAGGAUUAGAUACCCUGGUAGUCCACGCCGUAAACGAUGAGUGCUAGGUGUUGGGGGUCAAACCUCGGUGCCGCAGCUAACGCAUUAAGCACUCCGCCUGGGGAGUACGUACGCAAGUAUGAAACUCAAAGGAAUUGACGGGG
rnacentral:rRNA from 1 species